rnacentral:lncRNA from 1 species
UCUACCCUAUGAACUGAAACUGGGGAGGAUCCAAUACAGCUGUAUUCAUGACAUCUUAAUUCCCAUUGAUUUCAGUGGGACAAGGCAGAAUCAUCUUGUGGGAGUGGGACCAAGCUGUGGAAAAACAUCUUCUGGAUUACUUACGUCUAUAGGCUGCUUUUCAUAAGAAUUUAAGAACCACCCUGCUGCACCAAAGGACCAUCUAGUUCAGCAUCCUGUAUCACAGUGGUCCCUGUGCCCCCAGGAAUCCCACUAGCAGGACUCAAACAAAAUAACUUGCUUUAGCAGUUUUCCCCAAUGAAUGGGUGCCACGUGCAAAGGCAAAAUGGAUCUUUCCUUGCAGAGUCCUACCUCCUGGCAGUUUAAAUUCGUGCAAGUGAUGAAAUGGCUGUUGCAAAACAUGCUUUGGGAAUCUGAAUGAAUUUCAAACUGAGGAUCAGGUCUGCUUCCAGUUUUCAUUCAACCCAGGUGAGGAAACGGAAGUCCUAAACCAGUGUCUUGCUGCAGCAAUCGGCAGGAUAUUCCCGGCUCCUCUUUUAAUGUCUUUUCAGCACUAAGCAAAUAAUCUUUUGAUUUCCCGACGCCUUCUAAAUAACAUUUUAGAUUGUAAUGUUUCCCCCCUUCCUUGCUCUCAAUUGUCUUUGAAACGUUUUCAGUCGUAUUUGGUGUUUUAAUGCUGUGUUUUAUUGUGCUGUGCUCUAUUUUUAAUUUGCUUUCUCCCCCUCCCCAAGUCUAUAAAUAAUGUAAACAAAGAAAUAAACAAAAACAGUGCUUUGUGUGUAAAAAGGUCCCAUGCUCAAUCCUUGGUAUCUCCAGGUGGAAAGAUGUAUUUUUAAUUGCCCGUAUAAUCCUGAUGGAAUAGAAGAGUUUUCAGCUGGCGUUUAAAAGAUGAAACAGAAGGCACCUGCUGAAUCUCUAGUGGCAGAGUGUUCCACAGGACUGGGCCAAUGACACUAGAGGCUCGGUUCCUUGUUGAUGAGCCUUGCCUCCUUGGGGAAUGACCAGUGAUGCUCCAGCAAAUGGUCUCAGUAUUCAAGAUGCGAUAUAAGAGUUCAGGUACCCUGAGGUACCCUGAGCCUACGUUGUUCAGGGAUUUGUAAAUUAAUAUAAUCCAUUAGAACCUGGCUCAGGCAGCCAGUGCAGGUGUUUUAACAAUGAUGUCAGAUGUUGUCAGUCAAACAACCCCGUCAACAGGGCUACUGGAUGGGGAUGAUAUGAACUGCCAUCCAAAAACAUCUAGAGGGCACUACGUUGGCUAGCUCUGCUAUCAGGAAUAAUCUUAAAAUAAAGAGGAAUCUCAGAGGUCCAUAAAUAUAGAUUGUAGAAACUUACUCUGAGAGGAAGUGUCAAUUCACACUAUUUCCGAAGGACAUAAAUACAAAGACCUGGCAAGAUGUGAAUUCCAGAAUAGAACAGAAGAAA